UACAUGGGGUGCAAACGUUGCUCGGAAUUAUUGGGCGUAAAGCGCGCGUAGGUGGUUACCUAAGUCGGAUGUGAAAGCCCUCGGCUUAACUGAGGAAGUGCACCCGAAACUGGGUAGCUAGAGUACUAAAGAGGGUCGCGGAAUUCCUGGUGUAGCGGUGAAAUGCGCAGAUAUCAGGAGGAACACCAAUGGCGAAGGCAGCACUCUGGGACGUGACUGACGCUGAGACGCGAAAGCGUGGGGAGCAAACAGG
rnacentral:rRNA from 1 species